rnacentral:rRNA from 1 species
AAAAGCUUUCUUUAAUUGAAUAAUUGAAUUUAAUUUUUUANNGCAAAAGCAAAAAUAAAAAUUAGGGACAAGAAGACCCUAUGAAUUUUUUAUUAAAUUUUAUAAAACUUUAUAUAAAAUUUAAUUUAAUUGGGGUGAUGGAAAAAGAAUAAAUAUCUUUUUUUUAAAAAAAAUUGGUUCCGUUUUUAGCGAUUAAAUGAAAAAAAUACUCUAGGGAUAACAGCGUAAUAAUUUUGGAUAGUUCAUAUAGAUAAAAUAGUUUGCGACCUCGAUGUUGGAUUAGGAUUCUUUUUUGGUGAANAAGUUAAAAAAA